GGAAGAGGAGGGGCAGGAAGGGGAAGAGGAGGGGCAGUUUGGUCCUCGGCGCGCAAACCCUGGAUUUUUGAAAGCAGUUUGAAACGGUUCUUUUUAAGAUGCAGUGUACAGUGUUUUGUGAAUUUAUGUGACAAACGAGGUUACCUAUUAAAACAUUAUAGUUAUCAUCAGCGCUAAGCUAACCUCAGAAGCCAUGCCUGUUUUUUGUUCUCAAGAUGCACAGGGUGAAUCUUUGAACAGAUUCUUGUUCCGAUUGUGCAGUCAGUGCAUGCAGUAAGUGCUCUUAACAUUUACCAGUGUUCUACGCUUAUAGUGUACUGUAUGUUAAAACUGCAUGUUGUUGUAUGUAUUGCAUGUUGUACUGCAUGUUGUACUGCAUGUUGUUGUAUGUAUUGCAAAACUGCAUGUAUUGAUAUUAUCAACUCAAAGGUUGUCACCAGUGCGUGCAGGAGUGUGUGCAUGUACCCUUUUCCCUUUAUUGUUAUCCAUUUUAAUGCUUUAUGGUUGAAUACUGAAUUUUCCACUGUAUUGUUAACAUUGUGAACUUGAGUAUAUUGCAGUGUUAUCUAUUUUUUGUCAACAAUAAAAAAAAAUUGAAAUGGU